CCUGGUAGUGGUAUUGCAAUUCUGAUAGGUAAUACAUAACUUUUUAAUGGGAGGAAGAGAGUAAAGUAGUUAUAGGCAACAUAAAAUUUGUCCAAAUUUUGACAACUACAUGAAGAAUUGUGAAAAGCAACAUGGCAUUUGAAAACUGGGCGAGGGACACAUAUACUCCCCCUCCUCUAAGAUGACUUGUAUAAUAGGUAGAAAAAGCAUCAGGACUAGUGUAAAAUCUACACAUUGUGCAUCUG